rnacentral:sRNA from 1 species
UUUUUAUAUAAAGAAUUAUUUCAGUGUUCAUAUGAAAGUUGGACUGUAAUAAAAUUAGACUUUUAUUUUCGGAGUUUCUCCUUACUGUGCUGCUCAGUCUAUUUCUGUUUUUGUUUAAGGCGCCUGUAAUAACUCAAGAAUUUUAUACAUCCUAUUUGUCUACCUCCCUCUCUCUAUAUAUAUAAAUAUAUAUCUGAAAAAAUUGCUGCUGUUGCAUAGCACAGAAUUAUUUUCUUUGAAGUAAUGUAUAGAUAAGAUAAUGUAUGUUUAUUGAGACCUAAUCUGUUUACAUUUCAGAGAAGUGACCAAAACCUUCAUUACAUUCCCUAAGCCUAUCAUAGCCGCUGUGUCGGGUGCUGUCGUAGGACUGGGUGUGUCGCUGCUAGCUCUAUGUGAUGUGGUCUAUGCUAGUGAUAAAGCUUCUUUCCAUUUCCCUUACUCCCAGCUUUCUCAAACACCAGAAGGUUGUUCCUCAUUCACACUACCUUUAACUGUAGGACUGCCUUCAGCCAAUGAGCUACUAUAUGGAGGUCGGAAGAUUACCGCCAUGGAGGCCUACCAGCAGGGAUUAGUCUCUCAAGUCUUCUGGCCCACUCUCAUGAUGCAAGAAGUCAUCCCUAGAACUCAAAACAUGGCCAAUUGUUCAGCCAAGGCUCUUGAAGCUACAAAACUUUUAAUUCGGAGUCACCAUCGAACCAAAAUGGAACUGACCAAUGAGACUGAAUGUAACCUACUACUGGAGAGGUGGACAUCAACUGAAUGUCAAAGGACAAUUGAAGCCUAUAUUAGUAAUGAGAAAAAUUUUACAUUUUAAUGUUACUUUCUUCUGACAUUGUAUAUAGAUGUAUAUAAAUGUUGAAUGUAAUUAUCAUGCUCUUUCAUUAGGA